GUUGUUUAGUUGAAAAUUAAUUAAAUAAUUUUUGAUUUUGAGUAGUAUUGACUUCAUCAGCUUGCUGCUCUCUUUUCGGAAAUUAUUUAAUGCACUUUUCAGUUAACAAGUCAACAUCAAUUUCUUUUGUUGUAAAAGGGUAAGAGGAAGGUGGCUUACAUUUCGGUGUAAGUGUUUAUAGCCUUUUACCUCUGCAAUCGGAGAGAUUGAGGUCAGCAGCGUAGACUCUUCGGGGUUAGAUACACUUGUGCUAAGCUAUAGCCUUGUAUAGACAACUUGUUGACUAUGCUCAGUCAUGUAGCUUACUCGCUUGUAGUAUUUUACCUAC
rnacentral:rRNA from 1 species